UACGUAGGUGGCAAGCGUUAUCCGGAUUUAUUGGGCGUAAAGGGAACGCAGGCGGUCUUUUAAGUCUGAUGUGAAAGCCUUCGGCUUAACCGGAGUAGUGCAUUGGAAACUGGGAGACUUGAGUGCAGAAGAGGAGAGUGGAGCUCCAUGUGUAGCGGUGAAAUGCGUAGAUAUAUGGAAGAACACCAGUGGCGAAAGCGGCUCUCUGGUCUGUAACUGACGCUGAGGUUCGAAAGCGUGGGUAGCAAACAGG
rnacentral:rRNA from 1 species